CCUUGACAAUCACAUGGUGUGAUUGACUUCAGCCAAGACAAGGAGGUUUACAUG
rnacentral:sRNA from 12 species